CCUACGGGGGGCAGCAGUGAGGAAUAUUGGUCAAUGGACGAGAGUCUGAACCAGCCACGUAGCGUGAAGGAUGACUGCCCUAUGGGUUGUAAACUUCUUUUAUAUGGGAAUAAAACGUUCCACGUGUGGGAUUUUGUAUGUACCAUAUGAAUAAGGAUCGGCUAACUCCGUGCCAGCAGCCGCGGUAAUACGGAGGAUCCGAGCGUUAUCCGGAUUUAUUGGGUUUAAGGGGAGCGUAGGUGGAUUGUUAAGUCAGUUGUGAAAGUUUGCGGCUCAACCGUAAAAUUGCAGUUGAAACUGGCAGUCUUGAGUACAGUAGAGGUGGGCGGAAUUCGUGGUGUAGCGGUGAAAUGCUUAGAUAUCACGAAGAACUCCGAUUGCGAAGGCAGUUCACUGGACUGCAACUGACACUGAGGCUCGAAAGUGUGGGUAUCAAACAGGAUUAGAUACCCUAGUAGUC
rnacentral:rRNA from 1 species